AGUUAAUGAACUUGAAUAAGUAUAUGUUUUGAAAACAUAAAAUAGAGUAUAAAUCCUCUAUUAACUU
rnacentral:tRNA from 1 species